AGGGUUAGUAAUGCACAGGUAACGUGCCGCAAUCCUGGGGAUAACAUCUGGAAACGGGUGCUAAUACCGAAUGUCGUUCAUCUUCGGCAUCGAGGAUGAAUGAAAGCGGGGGACCCCGAGAGGGGCCUUGCGGAUCGUGAGCGGCCUAUGUGGUAUCAGCUUGUUGGUGAGGUAAUGGCUCACCAAGGCUAAGACGCCUAGGCGGACUGGGAGGUCGAUCGCCAACACUGGGACUGAGAACUGCCCAGACUCCUACGGGAGGCUGCAGUCGAGAAUCUUUCGCAAUGGGCGCAAGCCUGACGAAGCGACGCCGUGUGUGUGAUGAAGGUUUUAGGAUCGUAAAGCACUUUCGCCCGUGAGCAAGGUUUGCCCUCUAAUAAAGGGUGAACUUGAGAGUAGCGGGUAAAGAAGCGCCGGCCAACUACGUGCCAGCAGCUGCGGUAAUACGUAGGGCGCAAGCAUUAAUCGGAUUUAUUGGGUGUAAAGGGUGCGUAGGCGGCCAUGAAAGUUGGGUGUUAAAUUCCGGGUUUUACCCCCGGAGUGCACUCAAUACUUCAUGGCUAGAGUAUAAGAGGGGAAAGCGGAAUUCCACAAGUAGCGGUGAAAUGCGUAGAUAUGUGGAGGAACACCGGUGGCGAAGGCGGCUUUCUGGAUUAUUACUGACGCUGAGGCACGAAAGCAUGGGGAGCAAACAGGAUUAGAUACCCUGGUAGUCCAUGCCGUAAACGAUGCACACUUGAUGUAGUCGGUCUCAACCCCGGCUGUGUCGUAGCUAACGCGAUAAGUGUGCCACCUGGGGAGUACGCUCGCAAGGGUGAAACUCAAAAGAAUUGACGGGGACCCGCACAAGCAGUGGAGCAUGUGGUUUAAUUCGAUGCAACGCGAAGAACCUUACCUGGGCUUGACAUGCAAAGGAUUGGGGCGGAAACGCUCAGUUCCGAAAGGACCUUUGUACAGGUGCUGCAUGGCUGUCGUCAGCUCGUGCCGUGAGGUGUUGGGUUAAGUCCCGCAACGAGCGCAACCCUUAUCUCUAAUUGCCAUCGGGUAAAGCCGGGCACUUUAGUGAGACUGCCUGAGUCGAUCAGGAGGAAGGUGAGGAUGAC
rnacentral:rRNA from 1 species